CAGGUACAAAAAUAUAAGCCAAUCGGAGAUCCUUAUUUGAGGUUGCUAGGUAGAAUUUGUUUUCUCCGAGGAUAUUCUUUUUGGUUCAGGUUCAAGCUAAAAAUCAGCCAAUCACGUCUUGGAUUGCAGUCAGUGGGCGGGUCCUUCCCCUUCCACAGGUUGUUAGCUAAUCUAACGAUUUUUCUAAAAGUCUGGAGAUGUAACAGUGGAUAAAUGUUCAGCGUACAAAGAAUGUAGCCCAAAGCUACCAGUGUAUUGCAGACUUUCUUUUUUUUGUGUGGCCUUUUUAAAAUCAUAAUUAAACCAUAAAAAUGAUCGCGGUGUUAAAGUUUGGCUAAUGUGCAGCUUCGGUCCUGGAUGCCGUGAACAAAAAAAUGCUAAUACAGCAGAGGUUUAACGGUCAGUUUUCAGAACAUAUCCCUGGAGUAAUAAUGACCAAAUGGACGGUGUGGGUUUGGUUUCAUCUGAGCGUUAAUGAGAGCACAGUGAGACCUUUACAUUUUGGUUCGUGGCCAGAACGGCUGUAACCUGUGCUCAAUGCUAAGGAUUAAAAAGGCGGCCUGAUUCCUGUAAACCAGCCAAGCUUACUACUGACAUAACUAUUUGGCAGUGAUGAGAUGUGUUGACAUAUUUUUGAUACGCAGCUAGGAUGCAAAUGACACACAUGACUUCAUCCCAGACAAGGGUCGCUGUAAGGUGAUACCCCUCUCAUUUGCAGCAGCUUCUGAAUUUCACUAGACGUGAACAGCGUUCAAGCCAAAACAUGCAGCUGUGAUGUCAGAAUGAGAAGCACCUAAUGUGCAUUGCAAUGGAGUUAAACACUUAAGCAAUUACUCAAGCAACGUUUUCGAGCGAACAGAUUCCACCUGCUGACUCUGAUCUUCAAACCGUCGGCUUUGGUAUUAUAACUCAGAGCUUUGAAAGGGUUGCUACAUUUUUUAGACCUGUUAUUGCAUGUAAAGAGGAACAUUUUUGCAGCAGAGCCUUGUUUUGGCAACGCUUUAAGGACAGUUGUGCCUGAUGAGAUUAGUUCAGAAGGGGAACGUGGUAAAAGAUUGGGAUGAGAAUAAGGGGAGUGUUGUUUUGAUAGCAGCUGAAAAGAGGCAAAUAUCUGUCAAAGUUGCAUUAUAUCCUUCACUCUGAGCAGUGUAGGUAAACAGCAGGUGUGACAUAGAAAAACAGUCAUGAAAGCCAGAGUACAAGUUAUAUUCUCCCCCAUAAAGAAACCCUGAUAAUUAUGCUCCUCCAUGUAUUUCCAAAAAAGGCAUUGAGGUAUUCAGGACAGAGUGCAGAACAUAAAAUGCUUUUCAACCUGACAAUUAAAUUAAAAAAGCUGCCCAAGCAGGAAGCCUAGCAUCACACUUGAGUUGUUUGUUUUUUUUCCUCCCCCCUCAUAGUUAACAGUUCAGUUGCUUUGUCAUUAAAAAAAAUUACAUUUAAAAAUAGCUACUUCAUAAAUGUAAAGCCAUUCAGAGGAAUAAGCUCAUAAUAGGGGUUAUUAUGUGAUUGCUCAGUGUUGUAAAACUUGGACUUUUAGCUGUGAAACGGAACGACGAUGGAUCAUUUUGUGUUCCAGCUGUGGGUAGGGAGUAUUUGAGAAUAAAAUUGCACGUUCAGCAAUCAGUUCUGUUUACUGUGGUGUAAACCUAAGGGCUCUUUACAGUAUGAACCCCUUUAUGCUUGUAAAAAAAAUCAACUUGUACGACCCGAAGAAAAUGUUCUUCCCCGUUAUAAAAAAACUAAGAUGU